rfam:Triticum aestivum genome assembly, contig: Triticum_aestivum_CS42_TGACv1_scaffold_146451_2BS
UACGUACUCCCUUCGUCCGAAAAUACUUGGCAUCAAAAUGGUUAAAAAAGAUGUAUCUAGAACUAAAAUACUUCUAGAUGCAUCCCCUUUUAUCUAUUUUGAUGACAAGUAUUUUCGGACGGAGAGAGUAUAUA